UGGGCUCUUUUUGUUCUUGGCCAUGAUUGUGGUCAUGGGAGUUUCUCAAAUAAUCCAAAGUUGAAUAGUGUGGUGGGUCAUCUCCUUCAUUCUUCAAUCCUUGUUCCUUACCAUGGAUGGAGAAUUAGCCACAGAACGCAUCAUCAAAAUCAUGGACAUGUUGAAAAUGAUGAAUCAUGGCAUCCAUUGUCUGAGAAAAUCUUCAAAAGUUUGGAUAAUGUCACAAAGACAUUGAGGUUCACCUUGCCUUUCCCAAUGCUUGCUUACUCUUUCUAUCUGUGGAGUAGAAGCCCUGGAAAAAAGGGUUCUC
rnacentral:misc_RNA from 1 species